GAAAUUAGUUACUCUAUAAACACAGAUACUAAACUUGGGGUUGCUCUAACGUAGUAGACUUUCAAGUUUGUAUCAUGGGGAUAGUUUAUGUGAUGUAUGAGUUAAUGUAAGUGAUAAAUGUGGUAAAGGCAACAGCUCGCCGCGAAAAUGAUUCUAUACGGUUCGCGAUUUUGGUGAAAAUGGUUGAAAACAUGGUGCAGACCCAUUGGAUUAUGGUGCGGAUGAUGAUUAUAUCUAGAGAUUGGCGUUUCGACACGAAUAAGUCAGUCACCUACAGAGAAAGCGGAAAUUUAACCAAAACUAAGACCUAAGUUCCGGAUUUUGGUAUUUUUGACGACUUAUAGUCACCUAUAAAGAAAUAAGAUCUCGGAUUGUACCCAAAUGGCAGAGAGCAACGAAAUGGCAAUUGAACCCUCAAUGAAUGGACAACUGUGACAGUGAUAUAUUAUAUAUAAUAUUUAUCAGUUUUAUAUGUUAUAUGUAUAUUUUGUUUUAUAGUGUUAUAGAUGAUAAUUCAAUAAAAA